GUAUCCACUUUCAUAAAGAAGUUCCAAACACGCUUUUCCGCCCGCUCCCUCCCUGCCACUGAGCGCGGCUGCCUCUCGGCGCUCGCUGCCGACUGCCGGCUCCUGCCACGCCGGCGCCGCCGCCUCCCUGCAGCCUCCAUCAGAGUCAUCUGCCGGGACCUCAUCAGCCAUGACGAGAUGUUCUCUGACAUUCACUGAUCCGAGAGAUCGCAGGCGGCCUGUGCCUGGAGGUGGAGGGGAAGACAGUCAGUAGGACAGAGGGCGACAUUGAUGACCUGCUCGUUGGUGGCAAUGUUUCCGCUGAAGGCCCUGAGGGCGAAAUAACGGAAAGCACAGUAAUCACUGGUGUUGAUAUCGUCAUGAACCAUCACUUGCAAGAAACCAGCUUUACAAAAGAAGCCUACAAGAAGUACAUCAAAGAUUACAUGAAGUCAAUCAAAGGCAAACUUGAAGAACAGAGACCAGAAAGAGUAAAACCGUUUAUGACAGGGACUGCAGAACAAAUCAAACAAAUCCUUGCUAAUUUCAAAAACUACCAUGAAUCAAGAUAGCAUGGUUGCUCUACUGAACUACCGUGAGGACGGUGUGACCAAAUAUAUGAUUUUAAGGAUGGUUUAGAAAUGGAAAAAUGUUAA